GCGUGGAGACAGGUGGUGCAUGGCUGUCGUCAGCUCGUGUCGUGAGAUGUUGGGUUAAGUCCCGCAACGAGCGCAACCCUCACCCCUGGUUGCCACCGGGUAAUGCCGAGCACUCGAGGGGAACUGCCAGCGUCAAGCUGGAGGAAGGCGGGGAUGACGUCAAGUCAUCAUGCCCCUUACGCCCUGGGCUACACACGUGCUACAAUGGCCGGUACAAAGGGACGCAAGACCGCGAGGUGGAGCUAAUCCCAAAAAGCCGGUCUAAGUUCAGAUUGCAGUCUGCAACUCGACUGCAUGAAGGAGGAAUCGCUAGUAAUCGCGCAUCAGCCCGGCGCGGUGAAUACGUUCCCGGGCCUUGUACACACCGCCCGUCACACCACGAAGGCUGUCUGUACUCGAAGUCGCUGAG
rnacentral:rRNA from 1 species